rnacentral:lncRNA from 1 species
CUGAGGAGUGAGGGAAGACGGAAAGAGCCUGAGUCCAGUUUUCUUCUGACAUUCCAGAGGCAGUUCUAUGAAGGUCAGUCACUCCGGAAUGGCUUCCUGCCAAAGAAUCACUCUGAAGCACUCAGAAACUCUGAAAGAAAGAUCACAGAAUACUGGCAAUGAAUAUGGAAACUGGAGAAUACCACAAAGCUAUAAGUUGCUGAUCAGGUUGGAGACAGCAAGGGAGGCCGGAGAUGCAGGAGGAUCCAUCUGGAGCCCAGGUGGGAAGGUAGAGUGGACAGGGACAGGUGAGUCCAUUGGCUAUGGGGCAACCCUCAGGAGUGUUCUGGCUACUGCACAGUCCCCCACCCCCAGAUCCAUAGACCCCUACAGCUCACCCCAGUACCAAUCACUGGGCCUGUCUGACUUUGCACCAUGA